AGUGAACGCUGGCGGUAGGCCUAACACAUGCAAGUCGAACGGCAGCACAGUAAGAGCUUGCUCUUACGGGUGGCGAGUGGCGGACGGGUGAGGAAUACAUCGGAAUCUACUUUUUCGUGGGGGAUAACGUAGGGAAACUUACGCUAAUACCGCAUACGACCUACGGGUGAAAGCGGGGGAUCUUCGGACCUUGCGCGAUUGAAUGAGCCGAUGUCGGAUUAGCUAGUUGGCGGGGUAAAGGCCCACCAAGGCGACGAACCGUAGCUGGUCUGAGAGGAUGAUCAGCCACACUGGAACUGAGACACGGUCCAGACUCCUACGGGAGGCAGCAGUGGGGAAUAUUGGACAAUGGGCGCAAGCCUGAUCCAGCCAUACCGCGUGGGUGAAGAAGGCCUUCGGGUUGUAAAGCCCUUUUGUUGGGAAAGAAAAGCAGCAGGUUAAUACCCCGCUGUUCUGACGGUACCCAAAGAAUAAGCACCGGCUAACUUCGUG
rnacentral:rRNA from 1 species